CUUUACUGUAGCUUUGCAUUGGACUUUGAAUCGGUCUGUGUAGGAUAGGUGGGAGGCUGUGAAACCGGGACGCUAGUUUCGGUGGAGCCAACCUUGAAAUACCACCCUGAUUUAUUUGAGGUUCUAACCUUGAUCCGUGAAUCCGGAUCGGGGACCGUGCAUGGUGGGCAGCUUGACCGGGGCGGUCUCCUCCCAAAAGGUAACGGAGGAGUACGAAGGUACGCUUAGGGCGGUCGGACAUCGCCCAUAAAGUGCAAUAGCAAAAGCGUGCUUGACUGCGAGACCCACAAGUCGAGCAGGUGCGAAAGCAGGUCAUAGUGAUCCGGUGGUUCUGUAUGGAAGGGCCAUCGCUCAACGGAUAAAAGGUA
rnacentral:rRNA from 1 species